rnacentral:rRNA from 1 species
GUCGCGCGAGAAAGCCCCUUCGGGGGUGAGUAAAGCGGCGGACGGGUGAGUAACGCGUGGACAACCUACCCCGGGGUUGGGGAUAACCCUGCGAAAGCGGGGCUAAUACCGAAUACGCUGUUAUUUUCCUGGGUGAUUUGUUUCACCGAGGUGGAUAACGGGAAAGGUGGCCUCUGAUUUAAGCUACCGCCCCGGGAUGGGUUCGCGUCCCAUUAGUUUGUUGGUGGGGUAACGGCCUACCAAGGCGACGAUGGGUAGCCGGCCUGAGAGGGUGAUCGGCCACACUGGGACUGGAACACGGCCCAGACUCCUACGGGAGGCAGCAGUGGGGAAUCUUGGGCAAUGGGCGCAAGCCUGACCCAGCGACGCCGCGUGUGGGAAGAAGGCCCUCGGGUCGUAAACCACUGUCAGGAGGGAAGAAAAGCAGUUUCCGAACAGGGAGCUGUCUUGACGGUACCUCCAGAGGAAGCACCGGCCAACUCCGUGCCAGCAGCCGCGGUAAUACGGAGGGUGCAAGCGUUAUUCGGAAUCACUGGGCGUAAAGCGCGCGUAGGCGGCAGCGCAAGUCAGAUGUGAAAGCCCUCGGCUAAACCGGGGAAUUGCAUCUGAAACUGCGUAGCUAGAGUUCGGGAGAGGGCGGCGGAACUCC